rnacentral:rRNA from 1 species
GUCUUUUUGAGUUAUUUUUAAAGUCUGACCUGCCCACUGAAUUUUUUUGAAUGGCCGCAGUAUUCUAACUGUGCAAAGGUAGCAUAAUCAUUAGUCUUUUAAUUGAAGGCUGGUAUGAACGGUUGGACGAGGUAUAAGCUGUUUCAUAUAAAUUUACAGUAGAAUUUUAUAUUUUAGUCAAAAAGCUAAAAUGUGGUUAAAAGACGAGAAGACCCUAUAAAUCUUUAUAUUUUAUAUGAUUUAGAUUUUUUUGAUUUGUUUUAUUUUUAUUGUAUUAGAUAUUUUGUUGGGGUGAUGUUAAAAUUUGAUGAACUUUUAAUUUUUUUAAGUCAUUAAUUUAUGAGUUAUUGAUCCAUUAGUAGUGAUUAUAAGAUUAAGUUACUUUAGGGAUAACAGCGUAAUUUUUUUGGAGAGUUCUUAUCGAUAAAAAAGUUUGCGACCUCGAUGUUGGAUUAAGAUAUAGGUUUAGGUGUAGCCGCUUAAAUGUUAAGUCUGUUCGACUUUUAAAUUCUU